AGAACGAACGCUGGCGGCAUGCCUAAUACAUGCAAGUCGAACGAGAUCUUCGGAUCUAGUGGCGCACGGGUGCGUAACGCGUGGGAAUCUACCCUUGGGUUCGGAAUAACAGUUGGAAACGACUGCUAAUACCGGAUGAUGACGAAAGUCCAAAGAUUUAUCGCCCAGGGAUGAGCCCGCGUAGGAUUAGCUAGUUGGUGAGGUAAAGGCUCACCAAGGCUACGAUCCUUAGCUGGUCUGAGAGGAUGAUCAGCCACACUGGGACUGAGACACGCCCAGACUCCUACGGGAGCAGCAGUAGGGAAUAUGGACAAGUGGGGGCAACCUGAUCCAGCAAUGCCGCGUGAGUGAUGAAGGCCUUAGGGUGUAAAGCUACUUUUACCCGAGUAUGAUAAUGAACAGUAUACGGAAGAAUAACGUCUCCGGACUAACGUCCGUAGCCAAGCAAGGUCCGAC
rnacentral:rRNA from 1 species